rnacentral:rRNA from 1 species
GGAUCAAUGGGUCGGUCGUGCCAAUGGUAUGUACUGGCCUCAUUGGUUCUCACCUUCUAAGGAACCAUGAUGUCAUUUAUUUGAUGUUGUGGGAAAUUAGGACUGUUACCUUGAAAAAAUUAGAGUGUUUAAAGCAGGCAUUCGCUUGAAUACAUUAGCAUGGAAUAAUAAAAUAGGACU